UACAGAGGGUGCGAGCGUUGUCCGGAAUCACUGGGCGUAAAGGGCGCGUAGGCGGCUUGAUAAGCGUGCGGUGAAAGCCCGGGCUCAACCCCGGGUCGGCCGUGCGAACUGUCGAGCUGGAGCACUGUAGAGGCAGGUGGAAUUCCGGGUGUAGCGGUGGAAUGCGUAGAGAUCCGGAAGAACACCGGUGGCGAAGGCGGCCUGCUGGGCAGUGGCUGACGCUGGAGACGCGAAAGCGUGGGGAGCAAACAGG
rnacentral:rRNA from 1 species